CCUACGGGCGGCAGCAGUGAGGAAUAUUGGUCAAUGGACGAGAGUCUGAACCAGCCAAGUAGUGUGAAGGAUGACUGCCCUAUGGGUUGUAAACUUCUUUUAUAUGGGAAUAAAACGUUCCACGUGUGGGAUUUUGUAUGUACCAUAUGAAUAAGGAUCGGCUAACUCCGUGCCAGCAGCCGCGGUAAUACGGAGGAUCCGAGCGUUAUCCGGAUUUAUUGGGUUUAAAGGGAGCGUAGGUGGAUUGUUAAGUCAGUUGUGAAAGUUUGCGGCUCAACCGUAAAAUUGCAGUUGAAACUGGCAGUCUUGAGUACAGUAGAGGUGGGCGGAAUUCGUGGUGUAGCGGUGAAAUGCUUAGAUAUCACGAAGAACUCCGAUUGCGAAGGCAGUUCACUGGACUGCAACUGACACUGAGGCUCGAAAGUGUGGGUAUCAAACAGGAUUAGAUACCCCAGUAGUC
rnacentral:rRNA from 1 species